rnacentral:rRNA from 1 species
GACGAACGCUGGCGGCGUGCCUAACACAUGCAAGUCGAACGGGACUUAAUGGAAAGCGGCUUCGGCCAAUGGAAGUUAAGUUUAGUGGCGAACGGGUGAGUAACGCGUGAGAAACCUGCCUUUCAGUGGGGGACAACAGUUGGAAACGACUGCUAAUACCGCAUAAUGUAUCCGGGGGGCAUCCUCUGGAUACCAAAGCUUUAUGUGCUGAAAGAUGGUCUCGCGUCUGAUUAGCUAGAUGGUGAGGUAACGGCUCACCAAGGCGACGAUCAGUAGCCGGUCUGAGAGGAUGAACGGCCACAUUGGGACUGAGAUACGGCCCAGACUCCUACGGGAGGCAGCAGUGGGGAAUAUUGGGCAAUGGGGGAAACCCUGACCCAGCAACGCCGCGUGAAGGAAGAAGGCUUUCGGGUUGUAAACGUUCUUUUACCAGGGACGAAGGACGUGACGGUACCUGGAGAAAAAGCAACGGCUAACUACGUG